rnacentral:tRNA from 1 species
GGGGAUUUAGCUCAGUGGUAGAGUGCUUGCCUAGCAAGCGCAAGGCCCUGGGUUCGAUUCCCAGCUCCG